AAAUCGCGACCCCGUUUACACGGUACCGGACGAAUUUGGAACCGGACUAAAAUUCGUCUGUUUCGGCCGUGUAAACACACGAGAACCACGGAACCGGACGAAUUUGAGACCUCUAACAGGACGAAUUCACGUGUAAACAGGCGAAAAAGGACGAAUUUCAGACCGGCCCCAAAUUCGUCCGGUACCGUGUAAACGGGGUCUAAGACAUAAUACCUCACUCUUCGUGAACAAGAUAAAACAGUGAAUGUAAGAAUAUGGCCAGCACCAUUGAAUCCAAGGGACCCAAGUGCAAUAGGCAAUUCCAGCUUUUAGUUUAUUUUAUUAAAAUUUUUCAGCAUAAUCAGCAAUAUGAUACCUUACUUCCUGUUGCCCCCUGCACACAUAAAUUAAAAGCUGAAAUUGCCUAUUGACUAGACUAUGGAACUGGAUGACAACAUGUUGGUUAUAUUGCUUUUCAACUAUGCAAGUAUAUGCACCCACUAAUUGCUGCAGAUGUCGUGGAUGUCUAUUGUCUAUGUUCAGUGUAUCAAGUAUAGGGUUGACUUUUUUAAUUAAAAAGGGUGGAUUUUUAUUUUUUUUUUAAAGGAGGGGUGGAAACCUUUCAGGGGGGGGGGAGCAGCACCACUGAGUGAGCUUUUUACACGGGUUUGGCAUUAGGGUUAAAGACUUUUGAAGCAAAAUUUUGGUGGGGUUGAACACUUUAUAAGAUGGGUUAGAGAG
rnacentral:lncRNA from 1 species